rnacentral:rRNA from 1 species
GCUCAGUAACGCGUAGUCAACCUAACCUAUGGACGGGAAUAACCUCGGGAAACUGAGUAUAAUGCCCGAUAGAACACUAUACCUGGAAUGGUUUGUGUUCCAAAUGAUUUAUCGCCGUAGGAUGGGACUGCGGCCUAUCAGUUUGUUGGUGAGGUAAUGGCCCACCAAGACUAUUACAGGUACGGGCUCUGAGAGGAGUAGCCCGGAGAUGGGUACUGAGACACGGACCCAGGCCCUAUGGGGCGCAGCAGGCGAGAAAACUUUGCAAUGUGCGAAAGCACGACAAGGUUAAUCCGAGUGGUUUCUGCUAAAGAAACCUUUUGUCGGUCCUAGAAACACCGAUGAAUAAGGGGUGGGCAAGUUCUGGUGUCAGCCGCCGCGGUAAAACCAGCACCUCAAGUGGUCAGGAUGAUUAUUGGGCCUAAAGCAUCCGUAGCCGGCUCUGUAAGUUUUCGGUUAAAUCUGUACGCUCAACGUACAGGCUGCCGGGAAUACUGCAGAGCUAGGGAGUGGGAGAGGUAGACGGUACUCGGUAGGAAGGGGUAAAAUCCUUUGAUCUAUUAAUGACCACCUGUGGCGAAGGCGGUCUACCAGAACACGUCCGACGGUGAGGGAUGAAAGCUGGGGGAGCAAACCGGAUUAGAUACCCGGGUAGUCCCAGCUGUAAACUAUGCAAACUCAGUGAUGCAUUGGCUUGUGGCCAAUGCAGUGCCGCAGGGAAGCCGUUAAGUUUGCCGCCUGGGAAGUACGUACGCAAGUAUGAAACUUAAAGGAAUUGGCGGGGGAGCACCACAAGGGGUGAAGCCUGCGGUUCAAUUGGAGUCAACGCCGGA